GCGCCGGUAGCUCAGCGGAUAGAGCAUCAGUCUUCGAAACUGAGGGUCAGAGGUUCAAAUCCUCUCCGGCGCA
rnacentral:tRNA from 1 species